ACAUUUUGAUGUGUAUUUUUUGUUUUUCCUUUUUAUGGAUAGCUCAAAGAUUUCGAGGUGAAGACCCAAUUUAGCUCAGACAUCUGGAUUUUCUGAUUGUUUCCGAAAUGAAGAUAAAAAUCAAAGAUUUACUUUUUGAGGCUAAAUAAGAUGGAUGCUUUGGUGGUGGAUGACGAUAACACCUCUCGAGAGGUCCUCCUGAAGAGUAUGGUGAGUUCACUUUCAUUUAAAAUAGUUAGCAUUUUUUUCCAAAUCUUUUCUUUCUAAUAUGUAAGGUGAAUUUUUCACUCAGAUUUUGGCUCUAACACGGGCAUGUAAAUGUUGUAUCUGAUGAAGAAGAUAAAUGUAGUCCUUCAAAUUUCGUUCUUUCAAACCGCCAUUUCUAGAUGUCCUUAUGUUAUUUUAUUAGUGUUAUACUAGUCAAUUUUCUUGGAGAAGUCUCAGAUCUGAGACGAAUUUGACGAAGAAAAAUCCCAGUAACCACUGUCCACUGCUGUGCUCCAAGACGUCGAUCAGUCAAUUUUCAUCAUAUUACUAAUUUAGUAUUAUCACUAGAAACCUAAGAUCUGAAUUUCCAUUAGGUGCUAGAGACUCUUCAUAGUUGCUUUCUUUUAUAAAUCCCUUAUUUGAUGAAUAUAGCGAGACU